GAUGAACGCUGGCGGUAUGCUUAACACAUGCAAGUCGAACGGGGUGCAUAGUCACCUAGUGGCGGACGGGUGAGUAACGCGUGAGAAUCUGGCCUCAGGUCCGGGACAACCACGGGAAACGGUGGCUAAUACCGGAUGUGCCAUAUUGGUGAAAGAUUAAUUGCCUGAGGAUGAGCUCGCGUCUGAUUAGCUAGUUGGUGGGGUAAAGGCUUACCAAGGCGACGAUCAGUAACUGGUCUGAGAGGAUGACCAGUCACACUGGGACUGAGACACGGCCCAGAAUCCUACGGGAGGAAGCAGAGGGGAACUUUCCAAAAUGGGGGAAAGCCUGACGGAUAAAUAACGGGUGAGGGAGGAAGGCUUUGGGGUUGAAAACCUUUUUUCACAGGGAAAAAAAAUAACGUAACCUGAGAAAAAAGCAUGGCCAAACCCCUG
rnacentral:rRNA from 1 species